rnacentral:rRNA from 1 species
UUCCAGCUCCAAUAGCGUAUAUUAAAGUUGUUGCAGUUAAAAAGCUCGUAGUUGAAUUUCGGGGUUAGUAGGUUGGUCAUGCCUCCGGUAUGUACUGAUCUCACUGAUUCCUCCUUCCUUAUGAACCGUAAUGCCAUUAAUUUGGUGUUGCGGGGAAUUUGGACUGUUACUUUGAAAAAAUUAGAGUGUUUAAAGCAAGCUAACGCUUGAAUACAUUAGCAUGGAAUAAUGAAAUAGGACGUUCGAUCUUAUUUUGUUGGUUUCUAGGAUUGACGUAAUGAUUAAUAGGGAUAGUUGGGGGCAUUAGUAUUCAAUUGUCAGAGGUGAAAUUCUUGGAUUUAUUGAAGACUAACUACUGCGAAAGCAUUUGCCAAGGAUGUUUUCAUUAAUCAAGAACGAAAGUUAGGGGAUCG